UACUCCAUUGUGACCUCAUGGCCACUUAUCAUCAAAGUAAACUUCCUAAUUAAUGUGUCUAUAGCUACCAAGCUUUAAUUAUCUUUCACUUUAUUUAGAACAGAGUCUACCCCUACCCUCAGGAGGAGGAGGAAAAGAGCCAAGUGCACCAAUUUGUCUUGUCCUUUGUUUGUUCUUGGCAGACUUAAGUAAUGUUUUCCCCUGAAGAAAGUUCAAAUGAACAAAAGCUGGAAAGCCUUUUCUGUUUGACAACAACAAUGGCAAUUUUUCAUUGCUUGAAUUCAUAGCCUAGCCAUUAAGAAGAGUGAGGCAGUUGCCUCAGGUGGUGCAUGCUGGGUAAGACAAAUCACUGGAAGUGUCCCCAAACCAUGAAUCAGCUUGGACCCUGAUUCUCCUGAGCAAUAUGCUUUUCUGUCUCUAUCAACAUAAAGUUCUGGCUUCAAGUUAAAUGAAUAUUCAAGUGAAUGGACACUUGACAACCCUGAGUCACAAGCCCAGCUCUCCAGAAAAGGAAAUAACCUUUCAUUGCUGAGAUCCCAGGAGAGCCAAGUACAGACUUCAUGUUCAGAGUUUAAUAAAGGCAAGAUUUUUCUAACA